rnacentral:snRNA from 1 species
GAUUGCUUUGUCUAUUUGAAGGUCUUCUUUUGUUGGCCUUCUUCUUCCUCAGCAAAUACCAUGUGCAACCCUCCCAGACUGUGCAGUCAGUUGAAGAAGACAAUCUUCUCUGAUAGAAGAGAAUUGUUCUUCAGUCAAAGGUACAUGUGUAGCUGUGCUCACUGCUAGAACCUCUAAACAAGACCCUUAGAGCCGCCUUUCACUCGUUAUCUUCAUGUGCUUGACCAGAGCAGAAAGACUCUGG